rnacentral:rRNA from 1 species
UACGUAGGGCGCAAGCGUUGUCCGGAAUUAUUGGGCGUAAAGGGCUCGUAGGCGGCUUGUCACGUCGGGUGUGAAAGCCCGGGGCUUAACCCCGGGUCUGCAUUCGAUACAGGCUAGCUAGAGUGUGGUAGGGGAGAUCGGAAUUCCUGGUGUAGCGGUGAAAUGCGCAGAUAUCAGGAGGAACACCGGUGGCGAAGGCGGAUCUCUGGGCCAUUACUGACGCUGAGGAGCGAAAGCGUGGGGAGCGAACAGG